UACAGAGGUCUCAAGCGUUGUUCGGAUUCAUUGGGCGUAAAGGGUGCGUAGGCGGCGCGGUAAGUCGGGUGUGAAAUCUCGGGGCUUAACUCCGAAACUGCAUUCGAUACUACCGUGCUUGAGGACUGGAGAGGAGACUGGAAUUUACGGUGUAGCGGUGAAAUGCGUAGAUAUGCGGAGGAACACCAAUUGCGAAGGCAGCUCGCUGGGACGUUACUGACGCUGAGACGCGAAAGCGUGGGGGAGCAAACAGG
rnacentral:rRNA from 1 species